rnacentral:rRNA from 1 species
AACGCGAAGAACCUUACCUACCCUUGACAUGUACGGAAGCCGGAUGAGAGUUCGGUGUGCCCGAAAGGGAGCCGUAACACAGGUGCUGCAUGGCUGUCGUCAGCUCGUGUCGUGAGAUGUUGGGUUAAGUCCCGCAACGAGCGCAACCCUUGUCAUUAAUUGCCAUCAUUAAGUUGGGCACUUUAAUGAGACUGCCGGUGACAAACCGGAGGAAGGUGGGGAUGACGUCAAGUCCUCAUGGCCCUUAUGGGUAGGGCUUCACACGUAAUACAAUGGCCGGUACAGAGGGCUGCCAACCCGCGAGGGGGAGCUAAUCUCAGAAAGCCGGUCGUAGUCCGGAUUGUUCUCUGCAACUCGAGAGCAUGAAGUCGGAAUCGCUAGUAAUCGCGGAUCAGCAUGUCGCGGUGAAUACGUUCCCGGGCCUUGUA